rnacentral:rRNA from 1 species
GUGGUGGAUUAGUGGCGAACGGGUGAGUAACACGUGGGUAAUCUGCCCUGCACUCUGGGAUAAGCCUUGGAAACGAGGUCUAAUACCGGAUAUGACAUACGGCCGCAUGGUCUGUGUGUGGAAAGUUCCGGCGGUGCAGGAUGAACCCGCGGCCUAUCAGCUUGUUGGUGGGGUAGUGGCCUACCAAGGCGACGACGGGUAGCCGGCCUGAGAGGGUGACCGGCCACACUGGGACUGAGACACGGCCCAGACUCCUACGGGAGGCAGCAGUGGGGAAUCUUGCGCAAUGGGCGAAAGCCUGACGCAGCAACGCCGCGUGGGGGAUGACGGCCUUCGGGUUGUAAACCUCUUUCGACAGGGACGAAGCUUUCGGGUGACGGUACCUGUAGAAGAAGCACCGGCUAACUACGUGCCAGCAGCCGCGGUAAUACGUAGGGUGCGAGCGUUGUCCGGAUUUAUUGGGCGUAAAGAGCUCGUAGGCGGUUUGUCGCGUCGGCCGUGAAAACCUGCAGCUUAACUGUGGGCGUGCGGUCGAUACGGGCAGACUUGAGUUCGGCAGGGGAGACUGGAAUUCCUGGUGUAGCGGUGAAAUGCGCAGAUAUCAGGAGGAACACCGGUGGCGAAGGCGGGUCUCUGGGCCGAUACUGACGCUGAGGAGCGAAAGCAUGGGGAGCGAACAGGAUUAGAUACCCUGGUAGUCCAUGCCGUAAA